GAUGAAGAACGUAGCGAACUGCGAUAAGUAAUGUGAAUUGCAGAAUUCAGAGAAUCAUCGAGUCUUUGAACGCACAUUGCGCCCCCUGGCAUUCCGGGGGGCAUGCCUGUCCAAGCGUCAUUGCUGCCCUUCAAGCCCGGCUUGUGUGUUGGGUCGUCGUCCCCCCCGGGGGACGGGCCCGAAAGGCAGCGGCGGCACCGCGUCCGGUCCUCGAGCGUAUGGGGCUUUGUCACCCGCUCGAUUAGGGCCGGCCGGGCGCCAGCCGGCGUCUCCAACCUUCUAUUUUACCAGGUUGACCUCGGAUCAGGUAGGGAUACCCGCUGAACUUAAGCAUAUCAAUAAGCGGAGGA
rnacentral:misc_RNA from 1 species